UACGGAGGGGGCUAGCGUUGUUCGGAAUUACUGGGCGUAAAGCGCACGUAGGCGGCUUUGUAAGUUAGAGGUGAAAGCCCGGGGCUCAACUCCGGAAUUGCCUUUAAGACUGCAUCGCUAGAAUUGUGGAGAGGUAAGUGGAAUUCCGAGUGUAGAGGUGAAAUUCGUAGAUAUUCGGAAGAACACCAGUGGCGAAGGCGACUUACUGGACACAUAUUGACGCUGAGGUGG
rnacentral:rRNA from 1 species